GACGAACGCUGGCGGCGCGCCUAACACAUGCAAGUCGAACGAGCGAGAGAGAGCUUGCUUUCUCGAGCGAGUGGCGAACGGGUGAGUAACGCGUGAGGAACCUGCCUCAAAGAGGGGGACAACAGUUGGAAACGACUGCUAAUACCGCAUAAGCCCACGAAAUGGGAUGGGGUAGAGGGAAAAGGAGCAAUCCGCGUUGAGAUGGCUGCGCGUCCGAUUAGGUAGUUGGUGAGGUAACGGCCCACCAAGGCGACGAUCGGUAGCCGGACUGAGAGGUUGAACGGCCACAUUGGGACUGAGACACGGCCCAGACUCCUACACACACACUCAAUAUAUAAUAUUUUAACAUUAAGGAAAACCUGAUGCAACGACGCCGCGUGGAGGAAGAAGGUCUUCGGAUUAUAAACUCCUUUUUUUUAAGACUAUAAUAACCUUCCUCCACAAGCAAGUGACGGCUAACUACAUG
rnacentral:rRNA from 1 species